ensembl:lncRNA
CUCGGCUCCAUUAAAAAAGCUGGCAGCUUGUCAAGCCCUGACAGAAAACCUUUGAAAGCUCUGGAUUUCCUCCAGCUAAUGUAUGAGGCUCCUACAUCGGUGGCAAAUUAGACUGAAACAGCACAAAAUGCUCCUAUGUAAAUAAGCCCUUUUUCUCCGCGCUCACCCUUUUAAUAGUUCGAACAUUAUUUAUAGUUAUUUCUCUGGAUGGAAAAAUAUUUUCAUGUUUUUCCAAAGAUGGGUUCUCGUGAAAUGUUUUCCUUGUUUAUUUGGUGGGUUGUGUGUGUGGAUUUUUUUUUUUUUCCUUUUUUUUUUUCUUUUUCCUUUGAGAUUUUUGUGACGGUUUUCUUAAGCUUCGGGAGCAACCUUUCCUUCCUGGAAACGCACAGCAUGGCGUUGUGAGCCCCUCUCCAGCUACUGCUGUUCCACAGCCGUUCCAGGAGGGCCACAGCAGACCCCGCCGGCUGCUCGGCUCCUCAGGGAUGGCAGGAGAGCUCAGCUGUGCUCUGUCGGUGCCUUUACCUCUGCGUUCCAGGCACCACAUUGGUCCUCUGUGGGUUUUUCUCCUGUGACUUCUCUCCGCGAUUCCAAGGCGACUCCUGCUUCCAGAAAUGCUUUCCAGUGUCAGAAUAGGUGACAUUUUACCGUAUGAUUACGUACUGUACAGUACGCACGCUGUGUUAACCUCACCCUCAGCAUCUUCCCAUGUCUGUUGGUAGCGAUGACCAUAGAUGCUAACUCCAGAACAGUGGAGCUCAGUAAUUUGCUAAUUUUCGAGGAGCAUUUCCAUCAUUGCCUGUGCCAUCACCAGCUUAAGGUUAUCCAUGCACCUGAGACAUGAACAAGAACGAGGUGCACCUUGUCCCAGAGCCAGGAGGCUCGGAGAUGGUCGCUGCAGGUUUGUUGUGGAGCUUUUCCAGUGUAUUGCACUGAUGCUCUGCAGGUCGGUGGGAAUUAGCUACAAGGAGUCUUCCCCUGCUGUAGACCAACAUAAAAGCAGUGAUGGAGCUGCUCCCCACCAAAAAAAAGAGGCGAAGAAUUGCGGCCCUAGACUCCUCCCUGCAUCGAGGUGCUUCAUACACGGUGCUCUGCAGCCUCCCAGAGCCCUGUAGAAGGCUUGGUUUGCUCACCCUAAACAGGACUCCUCGCCCUCCCUGAGAGCAAGGCACUGCUGGGUCCACACGCUGCCUUUGUAGGAAGCGCCAACACCAACCGGUCCCGGCAUUAACGCAGCCAGGUUUGCCAUGCUCCACCAAAAGCUGCCCUGUGCUUGGCCAUGCCCCACUCCUCAAUCUCCAUUGGAUUUGUCCUGAGUCCUUCAAGCUCUGCUUUGUAGGGCUGCGUGCGGGCAGAACCCAGUUCUGCAAAUAAGCUCGCAUCACCGUGGUGAUAUCACCUCCAUGCUGUGCUGGACAUCUGCUGUGACCAACACCUGCUGAUUCCCCCCGGGCCUGAGUCAGCCCUGGAGCCACAGCACUGGGCUCAGAGCCUUUCUUCUGCUGAGGGAGCUUUUAAUGGCUCUGGACUGGAGGCUGUCAGCACAUGGCUAAUGAGAU